GUUUUAAUAAUUUAAUAAAAAUAUUGAUUUUGUAAAUCAACUUUAAGGGCAUCUUUUAAAACU
rnacentral:tRNA from 1 species